GUGGGGAAUAUUGGGCAAUGGGCGAAAGCCUGACCCAGCAACGCCGCGUGAGGGAAGAAGGUUUUCGGAUUGUAAACCUCUGUCCUUGGUGACGAACACAAUGACGGUAGCCAAGGAGGAAGCCCCGGCUAACUACGUGCCAGCAGCCGCGGUAAUACGUAGGGGGCAAGCGUUGUCCGGAAUGACUGGGCGUAAAGGGCGUGUAGGCGGCCGAUUAAGUCUGGAGUGAAAGUCCUGCUUUCAAGGUGGGAAUUGCUUUGGAGACUGGUUGGCUUGAGUGCGGAAGAGGCAAGUGGAAUUCCCAGUGGAGCGGUGAAAUGCGUAGAGAUUGGGAGGAACACCAGUGGCGAAGGCGACUUGCUGGGCCGUAACUGACGCUGAGGCGCGAAAGCGUGGGGAGCGAACAGGAUUAGAAACCCCAGUAGUCC
rnacentral:rRNA from 1 species